rnacentral:rRNA from 1 species
UACGAAGGGGGCUAGCGUUGCUCGGAAUCACUGGGCGUAAAGGGUGCGUAGGCGGGUCUUUUAAGUCAGGGGUGAAAUCCUGGAGCUCAACUCCAGAACUGCCUUUGAUACUGAAGAUCUUGAGUUCGGGAGAGGUGAGUGGAACUGCGAGUGUAGAGGUGAAAUUCGUAGAUAUUCGCAAGAACACCAGUGGCGAAGGCGACUCACUGGCCCGAUACUGACGCUGAGGCGCGAAAGCGUGGGGAGCAAACAGG